rnacentral:rRNA from 1 species
CGGACGGGUGAGUAACGCGUGGGUAACCUGCCUCAUACAGGGGGAUAACAGUUAGAGAUGACUGCUAAUACCGCAUAAGACCACAGCACCGCAUGGUGCAGGGGUAAAAACUCCGGUGGUAUGAGAUGGACCCGCGUCUGAUUAGGUAGUUGGUGGGGUAACGGCCUACCAAGCCGACGAUCAGUAGCCGACCUGAGAGGGUGACCGGCCACAUUGGGACUGAGACACGGCCCAA